AUGGCGUUAAAUUCGGCGACAGUGGCUAACCCCCUCGGCCUCUGCCCCGCAGCCGCAGGCGCCCUCGUCUCCCCCACUGCCGCACGGAGCCGCCGCUCCAAUUCCUACUCCUGCGUCCCUCGCCUCCAAUUCACCAAGCGCAACAGAUGCAGCGUGCUGAGGCUGUGCAGCGCACGCCCUAGCGCUCCGGCCCUCAACCAGUGGUGGGCGUCCGAGCUCACCCCGGAGGAGCUACCCACGGAGGAGACAGACGUGCCGACGACCGGGCACGGCAGGGAGGAGCUGGUGGCCAUAUGGAACGCCCUCGUCGCCGAGCCCUUCCGGCCCGUCCUGCUCGCCUUGCGCGAGAUCAGGGACCGCGGCCACUUCUUCCGCUGCCGCAGCUACCACGCCGGGGUCGUCGCUGGUAUGUACUUAUGGACAGGUUUCUCCUUGGUUAAUUUGUACAGGUUCUGA
rnacentral:rRNA from 1 species